GUGUUCACUUCGGCAGCACAUGUACUAAAAUUGGUGAUACAGAGAAGAUCAGAAUGGCCCCUGUGCAAGGAUAACAUGCAAAUUCAUGAAGCAGAGUAUAAAGCU